GUCCUGGCGGCGUGCUAUACAUGCAAGUCGAGCGAAUCAAUAGGAGCUUGCUCCUGUUGGUUAGCGGCGGACGGGUGAGUAACACGUGGGCAACCUGCCUGUAAAACUGGGAUAACACCGGGAAACCGGUGCUAAUACCGGAUAAUUCUUUCUCUCUCAUGAGGGAAAGUUGAAAGUCGGCUUCGGCUGACACUUACAGAUGGGCCCGCGGCGCAUUAGCUAGUUGGUGAGGUCACGGCUCACCAAGGCGACUAUACAUACGAGACCUGAGAAGGAUCUCAAACCCUGGGGAUCUGAUACGGUCCAUAUUCUUUA
rnacentral:rRNA from 1 species